rnacentral:lncRNA from 1 species
GACUUAGUCUAUUCGGUUAUAUGAACUACAUGGAGUAAUUGUAUAUGCAUUUGUUUAUUUUACUAAAGUUGUUCAUGUUCUCUUAUUUGAAGAGGUUUUUGCCUCCUACUGGGCUUAUUAUGCUCACCCCUUUAAAUAUUUUGCAGGUGAAAAAUAAAUAGUUUGAAGUUGGUUUCUUGCAAAGAUGUUAUCAUAUUGUAAUAUAUGUGUUGUUGUUGUUUCCCUUAGAAUAACACGUAGACUUUAGUCUACCUUUGUAAUAUUACUUUUUGGAGUAUCUUGUAAUAAAGAAUAAAUUUCAGUUUAUUGUUGAGUUGUUCUUUUCCAAUUUCUUUCAUAUUCUAAUUAUGGAAAUUCUAUUUCAUAAUUAGAAUAUGAGUUACACCUCAAAAAAAAAAAUAUUUCUAAAAUUAGGGUGUGACAGUAUAUGAGGACAGUAGCUUUCUAUAACUGUUGAAAUAUAUUUCUGCUACUAAGAUAGUAUCUUUAUGUGAAUGUCGUAGUAUCUAUGCUUACUGAUACCAAUAUUGUGUGUCAAUUGUGUUAUGUGCUCAUUAUGUAAAAGCAGUAGCAUUCUAUAAUGUCUACAGUACUUUUCUGUUCUUUUGAUCGUAUCUUUAUGCAACUAUGAAAGUAUUUUUAGCAUACUGGUGUCAAAUUUACAUUUUUGUGGCAUUUAAACUUCGUGCCUUUGCUGCUUUACUUUAUGGAAAUAUUACUGAAUAUUGCGGUGAAUUCAAGUGGCAGAGAGUGCCCUAUGAUGUGGUCUUACUGCUGGUUUUGGCUUUGUUUUUGUAUGAUUUGGAAAUGAUUCUGUAUAUAUAAUAUGUCUAUAUUGAAUAGUUUUUGGUAGUCAUAGAAGACAAUAGUGAGCUACCUAAUUAGUACUUGUGAGUGGUUUUGUAUUCAUAAAUUUGGUGAUCAUGUUGG